UUCACCGGAUGACACUCGUUUCAAGCCCGAGAAUAUACGGACCGCCUCCUGGCCUGACAAGGAAACAGCUGUGUGCAAUGAGCAAGGCACCUGUUACAUGACACGCCUUGCAAAGAAGCUAGCCCGAGUGAUACAACAUGCAUUAUAAGGAUUGCCAGGCAACGACAGGGUGACUACCCCCGAAUGUCCACUCUGCAAGUGCGGCGAAACAUGUGAACGUCUGCUACAACAGGUCAUCUUGAACCUCACGCUUGCAAUGCU